rnacentral:rRNA from 1 species
UACGGGGGGGGUAAGCGUUGUUCGGAAUUACUGGGCGUAAAGAGCGUGUAGGCGGCCAGGUAGGUCUGCUGUGAAAACUCGAGGCUCAACCUCGAGACGCCGGCGGAAACCAUCUGGCUAGAGUCCGGAAGAGGAGAGUGGAAUUCCUGGUGUAGCGGUGAAAUGCGCAGAUAUCAGGAAGAACACCCGUGGCGAAGGCGGCUCUCUGGGACGGUACUGACGCUGAGACGCGAAAGCGUGGGGAGCGAACAGG